rnacentral:rRNA from 1 species
UAAUACGGAGGAUGCAAGCGUUAUCCGGAUUUAUUGGGUUUAAAGGGUGCGUAGGUGGGAGAUUAAGUCAGUGGUGAAAUCCUGCAGCUCAACUGUAGAACUGCCAUUGAUACUGGUUUCCUUGAGUGUAGUUGAAGUGGGCGGAAUGUGUAUUGUAGCGGUGAAAUGCUUAGAUAUUACACAGAACACCUAUUGCGAAGGCAGCUCACUAAACUAAUACUGACGCUGAGGCACGAAAGCGUGGGGAGCAAACAGGAUUAGAUACCCUGGUAGUCCACGCCGUAAACGUUGAUUACUCGAUGUGUGCGAUACACUGUACGCGUCUGAGCGAAAGCAUUAAGUAAUCCACCUGGGGAGUACGGUCGCAAGAUUG